AGCGAACGCUGGCGGCAGGCCUAACACAUGCAAGUCGAACGAACUCUUCGGAGUUAGUGGCGGACGGGUGAGUAACACGUGGGAACGUGCCUUUAGGUUCGGAAUAACUCAAGGAAACUUGUGCUAAUACCGAAUGUGCCCUUCGGGGGAAAGAUUUAUCGCCUUUAGAGCGGCCCGCGUCUGAUUAGCUAGUUGGUGAGGUAAAGGCUCACCAAGGCGACGAUCAGUAGCUGGUCUGAGAGGAUGAUCAGCCACAUUGGGACUGAGACACGGCCCAAACUCCUACGGGAGGCAGCAGUGGGGAAUCUUGCGCAAUGGGCGAAAGCCUGACGCAGCCAUGCCGCGUGAAUGAUGAAGGUCUUAGGAUUGUAAAAUUCUUUCACCGGGGACGAUAAUGACGGUACCCGGAGAAGAAGCCCCGGCUAACUUCGUG
rnacentral:rRNA from 1 species